ensembl:rRNA 5S_rRNA 5S ribosomal RNA
GUCUGCGGCCAUACCACCCUGAACACGCCCGAUCUCGUCUGAUCUCGGAAGCUAAACAGGGUCGGGUGUGGUUAGUACUUGGGUAGGAGAAAACAUGAUGCAAAUG